ensembl:lncRNA
AAUCUGUGCCUGGCCCUUGGGGCAGCUGUGCUCAAACCUGGAAACUGCUGCAAGUUCUCCCUGUGGGCACAUUCCCAGAUCCCAUUUCCCUGUGAAUGAGCUUUUCUGCUGGAAUUGGACCUAAGUGUGCAGGGCCAGGAGGGCCAUUCCCCUGAGCUGCCCCUACCCAGAUGCAAUACAUCUUUACAGCUGUGGACUGAGGAGGACCCACACAACCUGCUCAGAUAUUGCUGCCUCCAGAAUACAGCCAUGUCCUGCGCAUCAGCAGGGGUAGCAGAAGUUUUUCUUUAGCCAUUUAUUUUUUCUUUCUUUCUUUUUUCUUUCUUUCUUUGCAGAAAGAGGUAGCUUUGGAAGAAUCCCCCGGUUCCUCAUCCUGAGAGCUUCAGGAUAGCCAACAAGUCUGGGUACAAGCUUGGUAUCUACUUGGCUCACACCAGUCCUCCUGAACGUCAGAGUAUCAAGAGCCAGAACUUUGUUUCCUGGCCAUCUCCAGCUGUUACUGCAUCUCCUGGCACCGGAAACAGAGCCAUUGAGCACCAUGCAUCUUCGGGACGACAAUCGCAUCACACAGAUCUGAGGGCCUGGAAUGAGCAUGAUGACACGUUGUUGUGGUCACCCCAUUCCUUAAGGCUGUGUGGGGUUUGCUGGAGGCAGGCAGGCUGGGAACGAUGCUCUUCAGACACCCAGAGUGAUCUUUACUCAACCAGGGAGGGUUUUUAAAUUUUGGACCUGUUUCAAGAGCGUUAUCGUGUCCCGUCUGCCCACGAUUGACAGGGUUUGGCUCUUUGUCUGCCUUGUGUUUCCUGGAUUCAUACAGACGAUGCUCCUGCCAGUCAGUAGAGCUUGGAUAAGGUUAAAAAGAGCAAGAGGAAAUCAGGAGAAGACAAGAAGCCUGUCCCCCUGCAGCACUAAGGGCUUCUUCCUUUCCCUGGGAGCUGCAGUGUUUUUGGUGAAUUCAGCAGUGUUAUUCCCAGCCCAGCACAGCACUUCUUGUGCUUUGACAGCUCAGUGCACCGGAAUUUAUUGCUUGACAAAAACUGGCAACUUCUCUCAACUGGGAAGGUGUUCUGGAGGCGGGGGUUUAUCCUUCCUUGCCUUCUGGACAACUCGCUGCAGUGAAUCCAGGAGUGGUCGGGCAGCUGGGAUCGGGACCUCAAUAACAUCUUCAAUUCAUGAAGAAAAAUGCAGGUUUAAUUGCUGGCCGUCCCGUUCACUUUGAUUUUUCAUUUAGCGGUUUGGCAAAUGAUCUCCCAGCACAAAAGAUAAAAGAUGGAAGAACCCACCUCCAGAUGCUUACCUGCAGAUUGAUCCCGCUUCUUUGUCACGUGUCGCUGAUCUGAGUUCUUGCUAGAUGGAUGUACUGAGCACACAAUGUGUCAUCUAGGUUGGCCUCUGCUCCCCCCCCCCAGGCUGCUGAGUGUGCAGCAUCCCAAGAAAGCAGUGCAGCAGCAGUGGCUGUGUGUUUACGACCUCAUGGGCUUUCUAUCAAAACACAUGGGUUACUUUGGGGACGCAGUGCAUUUGGCACCUGCAUGUACCCAGUGGGCUGCAAGGAGGGCAGGGGAAGACCCACCACAAAACAAGGAGCCCCUGCUCAGAUCACGUGCAUCGGGACUGGCCUCCACAUUGCGCUGGAAGUGUUUUGAUUUUGUUUCCUCUGCAGAACACAAACAGAUUUUGAAACCUGAGAAGUUGCCAUGAAACAAACUCGCUGUUCGCCAGCCAGCUCUCCUUACGGGUCACGGCUAGCCCUUGCUGAAGCCUUUUGAAGUCAGAAAUUACACAGAAGAAGCAUCUGUCUCUGCAUGGAUUUGUAUGGAGAAAUGUGACUUGUGAUCACCUACGAAACAAACUUAACUCUUAGGUUUGUGAAUUCCCAUGUUCUGUCCCUCCUUACUCCCAGCAAAUACCUGCAAGAAACACCACACCUUACCUGUGGGAAGAGAGCUGCUGCAGUGUGGCAUGCAGUGUGAGCACGGCAGUGCCCUCUGCUCCUCACCCCCAGAGCAGGGGGUGCCAUCUGCCAAUUUGUAUUGCCAGGAUCAGGGUUUCAUCUGAUCUGAUCUGAGGAGAGGAUCGUAGUUCCAGUGUGUGAUACAGAAUGCACUGACACGGCCGGAUAUUUAUAAAUAAAGGAUGUUUUUUCC